rnacentral:misc_RNA from 1 species
GAUGAAGAACGCAGCGAAAUGCGAUAAGUAAUGCGAAUUGCAGAAUUCAGUGAGUCAUCGAAUCUUUGAACGCACAUUGCGCCCUGUGGUAUUCCGCAGGGCAUGCCUGUUCGAGCGUCAUUUCAACCCUCAAGCUCUGCUUGGUGUUGGGCCCUGCCCGCUGCGGCCGGCCCUAAAGACAGUGGCGGUGCCGCCUGGCCCUGAGCGUAGUACAUCUCUCGCUCCAGUGCCCGGUGGUAGCCUGCCAGAACCCCAACUCUCGUGGUUGACCUCGGAUCAGGUAGGGAUACCCGCUGAGCUUAAGCAUAUCAAUAAGCGGAGGA